AACGCCUUGCUGCUGCUCAUCCUGUUCUUCAUCCUCGUCAACCCCGAAGAAGCGACCGUCUACAUUAAGCUCAGCAUCGUCCACACCACCGUGAAAGAGGUAUCACUGCUACCCAUACCUUACGUGAUCACGACAACGCUGAGCAUCAUGGUGGACCUGCUCCUUCUCAUCGGAAUCGAAGACAACUGUCGAGAGGUGCUGCAAGUCUACGUGGGCUGGAGUUCGGCGUGCACGGCUUUUGAGGCAAUCUCGUGGAUUGGCUUGGUGGCUUGGAAGGCAAACAGCGAAAACCUCGAUUUCUUCAAAAGGCCCUCGAUCAUUCUCAUCGGCGUAGUGCUCUUCAAGGU